ACCUUCGUUGUGUAGUGGUCAGUACGCUCGGCCUAUAGUCGAGAGGUCCGUGGUUCGAAUCCCGGCGAGGGCG
rnacentral:tRNA from 1 species